rnacentral:rRNA from 1 species
UGCUCCCUGAUGUUAGCGGCGGACGGGUGAGUAACACGUGGGUAACCUGCCUGUAAGACUGGGAUAACUCCGGGAAACCGGGGCUAAUACCGGAUGGUUGUUUGAACCGCAUGGUUCAGACAUAAAAGGUGGCUUCGGCUACCACUUACAGAUGGACCCGCGGCGCAUUAGCUAGUUGGUGAGGUAACGGCUCACCAAGGCGACGAUGCGUAGCCGACCUGAGAGGGUGAUCGGCCACACUGGGACUGAGACACGGCCCAGACUCCUACGGGAGGCAGCAGUAGGGAAUCUUCCGCAAUGGACGAAAGUCUGACGGAGCAACGCCGCGUGAGUGAUGAAGGUUUUCGGAUCGUAAAGCUCUGUUGUUAGGGAAGAACAAGUGCCGUUCAAAUAGGGCGGCACCUUGACGGUACCUAACCAGAAAGCCACGGCUAACUACGUGCCAGCAGCCGCGGUAAUACGUAGGUGGCAAGCGUUGUCCGGAAUUAUUGGGCGUAAAGGGCUCGCAGGCGGUUUCUUAAGUCUGAUGUGAAAGCCCCCGGCUCAACCGGGGAGGGUCAUUGGAAACUGGGGAACUUGAGUGCAGAAGAGGAGAGUGGAAUUCCACGUGUAGCGGUGAAAUGCGUAGAGAUGUGGAGGAACACCAGUGGCGAAGGCGACUCUCUGGUCUGUAACUGACGCUGAGGAGCGAAAGCGUGGGGAGCGAACAGGAUUAGAUACCCUGGUAGUCCACGCCGUAAACGAUGAGUGCUAAGUGUUAGGGGGUUUCCGCCCCUUAGUGCUGCAGCUAACGCAUUAAGCACUCCGCCUGGGGAGUACGGUCGCAAGACUGAAACUCAAAGGAAUUGACGGGGGCCCGCACAAGCGGUGNGCAUGUGGUUUAAUUCGAAGCAACGCGAAG